rnacentral:rRNA from 1 species
GACGAACGCUGGCGGCGUGCCUAAUACAUGCAAGUUGAGCGCUGAAGGUUGGUACUUGUACCAACUGGAUGAGCAGCGAACGGGUGAGUAACGCGUGGGGAAUCUGCCUUUGAGCGGGGGACAACAUUUGGAAACGAAUGCUAAUACCGCAUAAAAACUUUAAACACAAGUUUUAAGUUUGAAAGAUGCAAUUGCAUCACUCAAAGAUGAUCCCGCGUUGUAUUAGCUAGUUGGUGAGGUAAAGGCUCACCAAGGCGAUGAUACAUAGCCGACCUGAGAGGGGGAUCGGCCACAGUGGGACUGAGACACGGCCCAAACUCCUACGGGAGGCAGCAGUAGGGAAGCUUCGGCAAGGGACGAAAGUCUGACCGAGCAACGCCGCGUGAGUGAAGAAGGGUGUCGGAUCGUAAAACUCGGUUGGUAGAGAAGAACGUUGGUGAGAGUGGAAAGCUCAUCAAGUGACGGUAACUACCCAGAAAGGGACGGCUAACUACGUG